GACGAACGCUGGCGGCGUGCUUAACACAUGCAAGUCGAACGGAAAGGCCUGCAGCUUGCUGCGGGUACUCGAGUGGCGAACGGGUGAGUAACACGUGGGUGAUCUGCCUUGCACUUCGGGAUAAGCUUGGGAAACUGGGUCUAAUACCGGAUAGGACAGCUGUUUAGUGUCAGUUGUGGAAAGUUUUUUCGGUGCAAGAUGAGCUCGCGGCCUAUCAGCUUGUUGGUGGGGUAAUGGCCUACCAAGGCGUCGACGGGUAGCCGGCCUGAGAGGGUGUACGGCCACAUUGGGACUGAGAUACGGCCCAGACUCCUACGGGAGGCAGCAGUGGGGAAUAUUGCACAAUGGGCGGAAGCCUGAUGCAGCGACGCCGCGUGGGGGAUGAAGGCCUUCGGGUUGUAAACUCCUUUCGACAGGGACGAAGCGUAAGUGACGGUACCUGUAUAAGAAGCACCGGCUAACUACGUGCCAGCAGCCGCGGUAAUACGUAGGGUGCGAGCGUUGUCCGGAAUUACUGGGCGUAAAGAGCUCGUAGGUGGUUUGUCGCGUCGUCUGUGAAAUUCUGGGGCUUAACUCCGGGCGUGCAGGCGAUACGGGCUGACUUGAGUGCUGUAGGGGAGACUGGAAUUCCUGGUGUAGCGGUGAAAUGCGCAGAUAUCAGGAGGAACACCGAUGGCGAAGGCAGGUCUCUGGGCAGUAACUGACGCUGAGGAGCGAAAGCAUGGGUAGCGAACAGGAUUAGAUACCCUGGUAGUCCAUGCCGUAAACGGUGGGCGCUAGGUGUAGGGGGCUUCCACGUCUUCUGUGCCGUAGCUAACGCAUUAAGCGCCCCGCCUGGGGAG
rnacentral:rRNA from 1 species